rnacentral:rRNA from 1 species
UUCCAGACUCCUACGGGAGGCAGCAGUGGGGAAUAUUGCACAAUGGGCGAAAGCCUGAUGCAGCAACGCCGCGUGAAGGAAGAAGGGUUUCGGCUCGUAAACUUCUAUCAACAGGGACGAAAGAAAUGACGGUACCUGCAAAGGAAGCACCGGCUAACUCCGUGCCAGCAGCCGCGGUAAUACGGAGGGUGCGAGCGUUAAUCGGAAUUACUGGGCGUAAAGCGCUCGUAGGCGGUAUGUCAAGUCAAGGGUGAAAUCCCCGCUCUCAACGUGGGAACUGCCUUUGAAACUGGCAAACUGGAGUGUGUGAGAGGAUAGUGGAAUUCCAGGUGUAGGAGUGAAAUCCGUAGAUAUCUGGAGGAGCAUCAGUGGCGAAGGCGACUAUCUGGCACAUAACUGACGCUGAGGAGCGAAAGCGUGGGUAGCAAACAGGAUUAGAUACCCCCGUAA